rnacentral:rRNA from 1 species
GACGAACGCUGGCGGCGUGCCUAAUACAUGCAAGUCGAACGAACCGCGACUAGGUGCUUGCACUUGGUCAAGGUGAGUGGCGAACGGGUGAGUAACACGUGGGUAACCUACCUCAUAGUGGGGGAUAACAGUCGGAAACGACUGCUAAUACCGCAUAGGACAUAGGAUCACAUGAUCCAGUGAGGAAAGGUGGCGCAAGCUAUCGCUAAGAGAUGGACCCGCGGUGCAUUAGCUAGUUGGUAGGGUAAAGGCCUACCAAGGCGAUGAUGCAUAGCCGACCUGAGAGGGUGAUCGGCCACAUUGGGACUGAGACACGGCCCAAACUCCUACGGGAGGCAGCAGUAGGGAAUCUUCCGCAAUGGACGCAAGUCUGACGGAGCAACGCCGCGUGAGCGAAGAAGGUCUUCGGAUCGUAAAGCUCUGUUGUUAGAGAAGAACAGCGCAUAGAGUAACUGCUAUGCGUGUGACG